GGGAAAAAGAUCACGCUAGCAGCCUUGCAGCACGAUCGCGGAUGUCAUAUGUCAGCGCCCAAAAAUUAAGAUUUUGAAAUUCAAUGUUGUUUUAUGACAAA